ACUGUUUGGAGAUUUUAUCUCAAGGACGGUUAAGCAUCUGGAAGAGUUUUCGUUAAAAAUUAAUUUUGUUGUUUAUGAAAGUGGUUUUACAUCGACGUGCGGUUUUGCGGUGGUAGAUCUGUCGUGGCGGCAACGCAUUUUCGGUGGAGAUUUUGAUAUUUAUCUGACCCUUCCAUGGGUUUAAGGUUUCAGGAGAUCUCGGUCGCAAGGUCUUUUCCAAUAUGGAAUUUUUUGUGGUGGUUAUGCGGAUUGGUUAGCAGAAUUUUGUGGGAAGUUGAUGGCAAUUUGGUUUCACUCAUGCAGGUUUGAUUAAUGAUUUGAAGAAAAACGGAGUGUUCGAAAUUGAAGGAAACAAAGGGAGAGGGAGGUAAAAGGGAGCUGAGUCUGAACAGUGUCUGAACUGGCUCGAUUUCUACGGGAACCAGUUUGUUAUUCGUUUCAGUUGAGCUUUAUGCAGGGCUGCAAACGAGUUGCAACACCAGCUUUAUGGUGGGUACGGAGCAGAGACUUCGUCAUGAGAAUGGUCCAUGAUAUGGUGAACUUAUCACCGUUAGUUUGGAGCUGAUUUGAAAGGGCAGAGUUUCCCCUUUUCUUCUCUGGUGCAUCACCUUUGGCUGCUGUGUGGCAAAGAUGAGUGCAACGAUGAUGGCAUUGGAUAAGGCAAAGAUGAAGAGAGGACUCUAGAGGAAG